rnacentral:rRNA from 1 species
GAUGAACGCUGGCGGCGUGCCUAAUACAUGCAAGUCGAGCGAACGGACGAGAAGCUUGCUUCUCUGAUGUUAGCGGCGGACGGGUGAGUAACACGUGGAUAACCUACCUAUAAGACUGGGCUAACUUCGGGAAACCGGAGCUAAUACCGGAUAAUAUUUUGAACCGCAUGGUUCAAAAGUUAAAGACGGUCUUUCUGUCACUUAUAGGUGGAUCCGCGCUGCAUUAGCUAGUUGGUAAGGUAACGGCUUACCAAGGCAACGAUGCAUAGCCGACCUGAGAGGGUGAUCGGCCACACUGGAACUGAGACACGGUCCAGACUCCUACGGGAGGCAGCAGUAGGGAAUCUUCCGCAAUGGGCGAAAGCCUGACGGAGCAACGCCGCGUGAGUGAUGAAGGUCUUCGGAUCGUAAAACUCUGUUAUUAGGGAAGAACAUAUGUGUAAGUAACUGUGCACAUCUUGACGGUACCUAAUCAGAAAGCCACGGCUAACUACGUG